CUAGAAAAAGUUUCCCUCUUAAAGAUUUUUUUACCAAACGAGAGGGAUUUUUUAGGACUAAACUAGGCAUUUAGGACUAAAUGAAACAAACACCCCCAGCGGCGCACGACCUUCCUUCCUCGAGCAGCGGCAGUGGAGCGGGGUGCAGCGGGCUUGGCCUACGCCGACGGGCGGCGUGGUCCCUCUCCUCUAUCGAGUAGCGGCGGUGGCGCGGGACGCAGCGGGCUCGGCCUUCGUCGUCGGCGGCGGGGUCCCUCGACCAUCGGCGGCAGCGCCGAACACAAUAGGCGGCCAGGACGCGGCGGCGAAGCUGAGGGAGCCGGCCCUUGUGGCAGGGGGGGCGUGACGGUGCCAUGGCGGCUCUGGGGUGGAGGGCGCGUGCGUGUAGGCGACGCGUUCCUCCGGCUUCCGGCGUGCCGCAGCAUGGACUUCCCUGCUGUCGUCGUGCUCCCUGAUGCCAGCUCCUCCUUCCUCCCGCCGCUAGACAUGCACAACACCAUCCCAUGCCCUCUGCCCGCUGGCCAGAGAAAGGCAUUGGUGAGAAAUAUGGAAUGAUGCACGUGAACAGAUUGUCACUGCCAUCUCAUCCACUGCACUGAAGGAGAUCAAGCCCAUUUCCAUCAGCAUCAACUAGCACCUCUCCUUGACUUGCAUCCUUGUCCUUUGUUAAAUUGUGCAACCUAUUGCCGCUCUGCCAUGUGUCACAUGGCCAUCCUUCAUACACCGCUUCACUAGGACUAAGACCGAAGUGCAAAUGAUGGUAUGUAAGUUUUCACUAUUUCCUCACUUGAUCUUAUUGUUUUUCCACGGUUUUCUAACUGGGGUCCUCACAUAUUUUGUGUGUGUGUACAUUACGGGGCACCUAGAAAAUUCCAAAAGAAGUUGCCUCUUGUUUGGACACCGCGAAGCACGGGCUGGCAAGACUAAGAUUAGGCAAAGAGAGCUUCAGGAGGACCGAGUACGACACCUCACUCGACGAUCUAUUCUUCAAGCAAGGAUGAAGAAGUUCCUCAUGAGACAUGACAUGAGGUUGGCACUGCUAUACUAAUUACAUUUAAGACCGUCGCCAACAAUGAGUUGGAUAUUAUAGUCAUUCUUUUAUGUCCUCUGAGAAGAUCAUGUUGGACGAGUUCCGGGCUUUAAUGAGUUAUUUAGUCAUUUCUCUUCGGGUUUUUUAAACCAUGGAGGAGAACUGCAUGUGAACUUCAUAGAUACGAGAAGAAAAGGAUAAAGGCAUGUACAAAGUUCAAUUCCUCUUCUGUUUAUUUUGUUUCCUCUUUGUCUACAUACUGGUUUUUGAACUAUGUAUUGUUAAUCGGAUGUAUAUAGACAUGUUUUAGUGUGUUUGUUCACUUAUUGCAAUCAGUAUGUAGUCU